CUGUGUGUUGUUGGGUAGGGGAGCGUUCUGUAAGCCUGCGAAGGUGGCCUGUGAGGGUUGCUGGAGGUAUCAGAAGUGCGAAUGCUGACAUAAGUAACGAUAAAGCGGGUGAAAAGCCCGCUCGCCGGAAGACCAAGGGUUCCUGUCCAACGUUAAUCGGGGCAGGGUGAGUCGACCCCUAAGGCGAGGCCGAAAGGCGUAGUCGAUGGGAAACGGGUUAAUAUUCCCGUACUUGGUGUUACUGCGAAGGGGGGACGGAGAAGGCUAUGUUGGCCGGGCGACGGUUGUCCCGGUUUAAGCGUGUAGGUGUGUGUUCCAGGUAAAUCCGGUUCACUUUAACACUGAGGCGUGACGACGAGGCACUACGGUGCUGAAGCAACAAAUGCCCUGCUUCCAGGAAAAGCCUCUAAGCAUCAGGUAACAUCAAAUCGUACCCCAAACCGACACAGGUGGUCAGGUAGAGAAUACCAAGGCGCUUGAGAGAACUCGGGUGAAGGAACUAGGCAAAAUGGUGCCGUAACUUCGGGAGAAGGCACGCUGACAC
rnacentral:rRNA from 1 species